CAAGGAAAAAAAGGACGAUGUGUUGCCGCACCAGACUCGGCCUCCUUCCUAUUCUUUCGUCAAUCUCCCUCGACUUGGCUUCGUACAUCGAGAUCGAGAGAGGCUCUUACCUGGGAGGCUGGGAGAGAGCAGUCAGGCGGCGGCGGUGGCUCGAAGCACAGUCAGGCGGUGGCGGCUAGCGCGACACCCGCAGCCACCUCAUACUCCCUCGAUCUUCAUCCUAUUAGCUUUCGCCACCGUCACGCCGGUCCAGGCCCUGCCUCUGCCUGAGGCCACGCUAGGGCGCCGCCACCCACCUCAUCCCCUUUGCACACCCAAUCUCUCUUUCAGAUUCAGAUCCAGGCUGCUCAUCGGUGUCGAUCCCCAGCCGAAGCAUGAACAUUGAUCCAGGCAGGCCUUCUCUCCGAAUUCAGCCACUGGGGCAUGGCUCCCCUGCGGUUUGAAUCUGGGCGCUCGUCAACAGAGCGGCCAGAGAGGCGAGCUCUGGCUUUGGAUGCAUGGAGGGUAGGGGCCAGAGCCACCACGGCAGCCACGAGAGCGACAUGGACCUGCCAUGCUCGUCAACGACUUCCUCGAGAGCGGCGAUGGAGGUGGAGACUCGCGCAGCAGCAGCGACGGCGAGCCCGACGGUCCCGACCUCACCCACGCAUUGCUGUUGUAGGCUUCGACCGUCUGCUAUGCUGGCUCUGCUUCAGAAUCUCUGAUCAGUACAGGUUGGAGGAACAUCUCUGCAAUCACAUGUAUAGCAGUCGCUUACCAGUAUAUAUUUUUGGUAGCAGCUACUUUCGAGUAAAUUGUUGGUAUAUAGUAAGUACAGUGCUGCUAGCCCGUUCUGCUCAGAAUUUACUCCGUAGAUAACAUGAACAAAAAUAUUGAUAUAUGUGGCAUGUUGAUUUUACUCGAUGACCACAGGGGAGAACAAAAAUAGAUGUACAAGCAAGCUGAAAACAAGAAGGAAAUUGAGUUGCUUUCCAUGGUUCACUCACCAUUGUUAUCAAUCCAUAAGACAGAGCUUCAGGCUUGGUUCAAAAUGACAUCCAUGCUUAGUUUCUUACCAUCUACUUAUUGCUUGGUUAUUUAUCUGUCUAUUUUAUUGUUAUACUAGCAGACAUUCUCACGAAUCUUGCCCAAUGUUUUGACAUUUUCAGUACCUUUUCAUUGGCUAUUUCUUUGAAGCUUGAAUUACAAAAAGGAUAAAGAAGAAAUAUUGUGUACCAUGGUAUGAUAUAAUAUACCAGUUCCAUGAUAUGUGGUAAAUUUCCAUGGAAAUUGCCUAGAGUUUCUCAUCUUCUGUAAUGCUGGCAGAGAGUGGGAGCACAAAAUUGUUUGGAGAUUUAUGAUGUCAGAUCUAAUAUAUAAAUCUUUAUAUAUUCAUCUUUUCUUAGUUAACCUGCUUUUCUGAACAAAUUGUCAUAAUACAUGUAGGAAAAAUAUAUGUGCAAUGAUAUGAAUUGUCCAAGCUCAGGCCACUGCUGGACAAGGUACUCACCUACUUUGAAGCAUGCAUCUGGCAAGGUGUUCAUUGGUGUGGAACUCUGGCAUCCGGCAAGGUGUUCAUUGGGGCAGGGAUCGAUGGAGACGCAGUUGUGCAUGACGAAGUCCCUAAAGUGGCCCCUAGAUACUGCUGAAUGACCGGGUCACAGGCGGUAUCCAUCCAAUCUCGUCGUUCCGCCGACUUAGCAGGAACACUAUCCGCUCGUGCUCCACCCUUCACCGGAACUCCGUCUGACCAUGCUUCACCUGAGGGAGAGGGAGAUCAGAGGACGGAUGGAAGGGAUGGCGACAACGUUAUAUUCAAAAGGGAAUAACGCUGGAAUACCUUACUAUUGCUACCUGUCAGAGUGCAUAAUUAUGAAGUAAAUUACUUGGCACUGCUUAGUUGCCAAACUUGACAGUUGCUAAGACCUUCUGUCGACAAGAUACACAAACAUACAAUUCCAUGGUACUAUGUAGAGUAUUCAAAGAGGUCAUCUUCAUGAAGCUAGCAGAGGAUAGACAUUAGGAAAAAUGAGAGAUGAGGUGUUUGGGCAUGAGUCGAUUGCAUUGUGGCAAUUGUCAUCGUAGUGUAUUUUCUGUCGCUAUUUACAGAACAACUACAGAGAGGACAUUGUUGCUAUUCUAAAGGUAAAUGAUGCACUUGACAUUGUAAUAUGAUUUGUACACCUGUUUCCAGAAAAAUAGCAAUUGAACAUACACAGGGUCAAGUGUAGUUGUUAAUUUUUUUCAAGUAGUACAAAUGCGGGCUUUUCUAUGUUUAUUCCUGAUUACAUCACACUGUAACUCAAUUCCUUGAAGCCAUGAUGUGUUCUCUGGUUCAUUGAAUGCACGAUUUGGAAUCUGAUAAAUUUUACUCGUAUGAUGUAAUUUAUGUCAAAUUUCCUAUGCAAAUAAUUUAGGAACCACAUUGCCCGUGUAUGUUAAGUUCUUCUGUCAGUUUUCUCACUUAGACAGCAAGACGAACGUGAUGCAAAACUGCCAUGGACUGCUGACAUAACUCAUGUAUUACUUCAUGAUGGUACACUUCCUUUUUGCCGUCUUUUCUGCCAUAAGCUCACUCUUUGAGAUGUUAGCCGGUAGGGAAAUAGAUCGAGAUCCUCUGGUUUUGCCUGGAGAUGUUAUGUUAUCCAUGGUGAUUCAGUUUCCAGUCCGUGUAGAUUAGUGUGACUAUGAGCCAUCGGGGACCUUCUGUGCAUGUUUAAUUAACAUACAAAAACUUCUGGAGUACUAUACACUUCAACGUCUGUAUAAAUAAUUUGACCUUAUAAAACAAACCAUUCAUCGGCUAGCUGAAUCAGAUGAUGAUCUAUGACAAUCAACCUAGCACAAAUAAAAAGUAAUUUCACUAAUUUUUCAAUUGCGCUCCACUGAACUUUGGUGUAAGUUCUUUUGUCUUAGGGUAUUUACAUUUUAAAUGACAGCCCUAAAAAAGUUUCUCAUUUAUUUAAUUCUUAUAAUUACAAAUAAUUCCAAAGAUCAACUUUACACAAUUGAACCGGUACUUAAUUGAGAAACAGGGAGUUGACAUGGAACAAUAAAUUUGUAAACAUUUUUUCUAUUCUAUCGAUUAUUUUGAUUUGAAAUAUUUGUUAUUUCAACAUAAACAUGUUUUGAAAAUUUAUUGGUGUGAGCCUGUCAACGGACACAACUACGUGACUUGAAAUAUCUGAAAGGGCAAGGGAGAGCAUGGAGAUAAGAACACAAUGCAUAGCUUGUGGUCAUAUUUUCCUCAUGUUGAUUAAGCCGCUUGAAGCAAUAACUCAUGUUCUUGCAUUUCCUCUAUACUAAUGAAGUAGAUAAUGAAGGUUGGGCUUCUUUUAUAUCAGCAAGACCUGCUCUUUUUUCUUACUGAAAGCGGCCUACAACACUCAAUGUACACGCUUGAGUGUACUUGCAUAUUGUAAUGACACAUCACACUCACUCACUAAUGUGGAUCAGGACCGUGACAUAGUUGGUUCAUUUUAAUCCAUAAUGCACAAGGUAACAUGUGCACUACCAUAGUUUUUUUCCUAUUGGAGUAAAUUAAACUUUGAUGAAGUUUUACAUUGCAAUACAAUUGGCAUUGAAUGGAGAAGAUAAUUUGUACCAGGUGCUGAAUUGAUGAAAUAUGAUUUGGUUAAUUCUACUUUCUGUUGAUUUUAAAAUUGCUCUGAACUGUUGGUGCUUAAAGACAUGAAGCAAGGUCCAGAGAUGCCGUGUAUGUUUCAACUGCUAUAUUUAACAUGUAUGCUUAAUAAAAUUUUAGCACAAAUUUAUUAUGUUUACUCAGUUGGCCUUCAUGCUAUGUUUUUUAGUGAGUUGAAAAGGGGCUUGCUAGGCGGCAUGCUGGAGUAUAUGAUGAUCAAGCUUAUGACCUUGGGAUUGAUCAUGUUCAUCAUGAAUAGCUGGACAAUCUGACCACAAUUGGCGAUGGUGGCGAAGAGGAGAAGUGGCAAUAGGAAUGGGUCACUAGGAGGAUCUGUGUCGCUAGGAGGCUUGUAUUUCUUCCGUUGCAACGCACGGGCAAUUUUCCUAUAAUAAUAAAGCAUGGAUUGACUUUGCCGGGUUCACCGUCA